AUUGAACGCUGGCGGCAGGCCUAACACAUGCAAGUCGAACGAGUGGCGGACGGGUGAGUAAUGUCUGGGAAACUGCCUGAUGGAGGGGGAUAACUACUGGAAAAGGUAGCUAAUACCGCAUACCAUCGGAUGUGCCCAGAUGGGAUUAGCUAGUAGGUGGGGUAACGGCUCCCCCAGGCGACGAUCCCUAGCUUGUCUGAGAGGAUGACCCGCCACACUGGAGCUGGGCAACGGUCCAGACUCCUACGGGAGGCAGCAGGGGGGAAUAUUGCACAAUGGGCGCAAGCCUGAUGCAGCCAUGCCGCGUGUAUGAAGAAGGCCUUCGGGUUGUAAAGUACUUUCAGCGGGGAGGCGUUACCCGCAGAAGAAGCACCGGCUAACGCCGUGCCAGCAGCCGCGGUAAUGC
rnacentral:rRNA from 1 species